rnacentral:rRNA from 1 species
GAGUUUGAUCCUGGCUCAGGAUGAACGCUGGCGGCGUGCUUAAUACAUGCAAGUCGAACGAAGCAUAUGAGACGGAGUUCUUCGGAAUAAAGAUUCAUAUGACUGAGUGGCGGACGGGUGAGUAACGCGUGGGUAACCUGCCUUGUACAGGGGGAUAACAGUUGGAAACAGCUGCUAAUACCGCAUAAGUGCACAGUAUCGCAUGAUACAGUGUAAAAAACUCCGGUGGUACAAGAUGGACCCGCGUCUGAUUAGCUAGUUGGUGGGGUAACGGCCUACCAAGGCGACGAUCAGUAGCCGACUUGAGAGAGUGAUCGGCCACAUUGGGACUGAGACACGGCCCAAACUCCUACGGGAGGCAGCAGUAGGGAAUAUUGCACAAUGGGGGAAACCCUGAUGCAGCGACGCCGCGUGAAGGAAGAAGUAUUUCGGUAUGUAAACUUCUAUCAGCAAGGAAGAAAAUGACGGUACUUGACUAAGAAGCCCCGGCUAAAUACGUA